AGUGAACGCUGGCGGUAGGCCUAACACAUGCAAGUCGAACGGCAGCACAGUAAGAGCUUGCUCUUACGGGUGGCGAGUGGCGGACGGGUGAGGAAUACAUCGGAAUCUACUUUUUCGUGGGGGAUAACGUAGGGAAACUUACGCUAAUACCGCAUAUGACCUACGGGUGAAAGCAGGGGAUCUUCGGACCUUGCGCGAUUGAAUGAGCCGAUGUCGGAUUAGCUAGUUGGCGGGGUAAAGGCCCACCAAGGCGACGAUCCGUAGCUGGUCUGAGAGGAUGGUCAGCCAGACUGGAACUGAGACACGGUCCAGACUCCUACGGGAGGCAGCAGUGGGGAAUAUUGGACAAUGGGCGCAAGCCUGAGCCAGCCAUACCGCGUGGGUGAAGAAGGCCUUCGGGUUGUAAAGCCCUUUUGUUGGGAAAGAAAAGCAGCAGGUUAAUAACCCACUGUUCUGACGGUACCCAAAGAAUAAGCACCGGCUAACUUCGUG
rnacentral:rRNA from 1 species